GACGAACGCUGGCGGCGUGCUUAACACAUGCAAGUCGAACGGAAAGGCCCUGCUUUUGUGGGGUGCUCGAGUGGCGAACGGGUGAGUAACACGUGAGUAACCUGCCCUUGACUUUGGGAUAACUUCAGGAAACUGGGGCUAAUACCGGAUAGGAGCUCCUGCUGCAUGGUGGGGGUUGGAAAGUUUCGGCGGUUGGGGAUGGACUCGCGGCUUAUCAGCUUGUUGGUGGGGUAGUGGCUUACCAAGGCUUUGACGGGUAGCCGGCCUGGGAGGGUGACCGGCCACAUUGGGACUGCGAGAGGGCCCAGACUCCUACGGGAGGCAGCAGUGGGGAAUAUUGCACAAUGGGCGGAAGCCUGAUGCAGCAACGCCGCGUGCGGGAUGACGGCCUUCGGGUUGUAAACCGCUUUCGCCUGUGACGAAGCGUGAGUGACGGUAAUGGGUAAAGAAGCACCGGCUAACUACGUG
rnacentral:rRNA from 1 species